GCCUACGGGGGGCAGCAGUAGGGAAUUUUCGUCAAUGGGCGCAAGCCUGAACGAGCAAUGCCGCGUGAACGAGGAAGGUCUUCGGAUCGUAAAGUUCUGUUGAAGGGGAAAAAGAGCGGAGAGAGGAAAUGGUCUCCGAUUGAUAUUACCCUUCGAGGAAGUCACGGCUAACUACGCGCCAGCAGCCGCGGUAAUACGUAGGUGGCGAGCGUUAUCCGGAAUGAUUGGGCGUAAAGGGUGCGUAGGCGGCCUGCUAAGUCUGGAGUGGAAGGUACCGGCUCAACCGGUACAGGCUCUGGAAACUG
rnacentral:rRNA from 1 species